rnacentral:rRNA from 1 species
CCUACGGGAUGCAGCAGUGAGGAAUAUUGGUCAAUGGGAGGAAUCCUGAACCAGCCAUGCCGCGUGCAGGACGACGGCUCUACGAGUUGUAAACUGCUUUUGUACCGGGGUAAAAUGCUCUACGAGUAGGGUUUUGAAUGUACGGUACGAAUAAGGAUCGGCUAACUCCGUGCCAGCAGCCGCGGUAAUACGGAGGAUCCGAGCGUUAUCCGGAUUUAUUGGGUUUAAAGGGUGCGUAGGUUGUUUUAGAAGUUAGCGGUGAAAUCCCGAGGCUCAACAUCGGGGCUGCCGCUGAUACUGGAGGACUAGAGAGCGGAUGCGGCAGGCGGAAUGUGUAGUGUAGCGGUGAAAUGCAUAGAUAU